GACGAACGCUGGCGGCGUGCCUAAUACAUGCAAGUCGAGCGAAGCGGCGGAUGGGUGAGUAACGCGUGGGUAACCUGCCCUUAAGUCUGGGAUACCAUUUGGAAACAGAUGCUAAUACCGGAUACUAAAGGAUGGACCUGCGAUGCAUUAGCUAUUUGGUAAGGUAACGGCUUACCAAGGCGAUGAUGCAUAGCCGAGCUGCGCUGCUGUUCGGCCACCGUGGGCCUGAUACACGGCCCAAACUCCUACGUGAGGCAUCAGUAGGGAAUCUUCCACAAUGGUCGAAAGUCUGAUGGGGCCACGCCGCGUUAGUGAAGAAGUUUUUCGGAUCGUAAAGUUCUUUUGUUGGUGAAGCGUUAUUCAACCAGCUAGCCCCGGCUAACUACGUGCCAGCAGCCGCGGUAAUAC
rnacentral:rRNA from 1 species